GUGUAAGGCAGGCACACUAACCACUAAGCCAGUGUGCUUUAGUAAACUAUGGGCUGACACUAACUAGAUUUUCUUGCUUUUAUAAUGUAAGGUAUGCACUCAAUACACAUACUGCAUGGGACUGUGUUUGCCAGCACCAUGUUGUUGUGCCUUCAUCAGUGGAUGUUUGUGGACGUCCACUUCUCGGUUGCAUUGGUGCUCACCUCUCAUUCUCCCUCUGGUUGUCAGAUGCAACCACUGGACUGGUUCAUGUACAGUAGGUGCAUCUGCACAACACAUAUUUUGACGCUCCCAUCAGCCCAGAACAGGCUUUCCAAUUCCUACACUUCAUCCUCUCUCUAGCAGCACACAAGAAGACUUCCAGGUUGGCGUCAGAGCACAGGGUCAGCCAUGAUACAGCGCCCCUGGAGCAGAGAGGAUUAUGGUUAAGGUUAAGGGCCUUGCUCAAGGGCCAAACAGUGGCAGUUUGGCAGUGCCAGGACUUGAAUCCCCAACCUUCCAGAGCCUUAACCACCAAGCCACCACUGAUCCUCAGGGCAUCAUAAUUGAUGAUAUGGUGAAGUUUUCAGUGUGGAGAUAUUUUACAUUUACGGAAGGAGUCUCCAGUGUCAUCACUCUGCAACAGUCAUAGUUAAAGCUGUAACUUCAAGUGGAAGUCCUGCCAUGUUUUAUAAUUUACAUAAUUCCAAAACCACCUGUUCACUUUGUAGAUAACGGUGGACAGUAUACACAGUUGGGAAAAAAUGUUUACAUUUAAAACUUUACGAUUUAUUCGGCUUGUUCCUUUAUAAGUUUCGAAACCGAACAAUCCCUUUUCUAGGAAUAUGCCUAUUGAGCUUUAACAUUACAGUUUUCACCAGAUGACGUGUGUGACUGAGCACGUCUAAUGGCUUGAUCUUAAAUGACACACUUGUGUGUAGUAAGCUAUCUGAAAGAUGUGUUGUAACAAGUCUUUCCAAAGAAACAAACUGAAUUGGACUGAUUUUAUCCCAGUGUUAGAUAUUUUCAUGUUGAGAUCAUUAAUGAGCAAUUGUAGACUCCCCCCAUAAAUUGAGUUUUUCAAGACAAAAG